AAGCCCUCGCGGCCCAGCCUCUCGCGUCGCUCGUUACCCUCCUCUCCCCUCGCGCCGCGCCGCCGCCUCGCGCUCGCCGUCUCCUCCCCUCCCGUUCCCGUGCGCGUGCGACGGCCACCGCCGCCAUCCCCGCCGCCAGCCCCUCUUCCUCCCCCACGUCCCUCUCUGGAGCCCCCCUUUACCGGAAGAGAGAUGGCAAACACUCUCUGUUUCGUUGAGAAGGGGAGCAGAAGGAAGGCAUGAGCAUGCGGGAGCAGCGCCUCUGUCCGCCGCUGCCGUGGCACGAGGAUGCGGCAGCAGCGCCGCCGUCUGCCGCCGCCUCGCUGUGCCACCUAUGCUAUGCCACCGCCCUCCCUGUCGUCCUCAGCAAAGGAGGCUGGGAUCCAGACCUCCGGCUCGUGCUGCUCCACAUGAGCAGAAGCAGCAGCGCGGGGAGAGGAUCGGCCAGAGGCACACCCCGGCGGCAGUAGCACAUCUCCCAAACCCUAGAUCAAUGGGCCGCCGUCUUCUCAUCUCCUCUUUUUGCAGACUGCGGGAGUAGCAGUGAAUACGGCAAUGGACGAAAAAGAGGGCCGCGUCAGCCGGCGUUGGGAUGUAGAGGUCACAUCAGUACCAAUGUCACACGCUGAUCAAAGAUGUGCUGGAAGCCUCUCCAAAUGACAUACUAGAUAUCGCAGGUCAUUUCAUGUUAAUGAACUACUGUCUCUUGAGUUAAAGAAAAGUUGACAUGAUGGGGUUCUAGCAGCCAUUUCUUUGGGCUUACGAGAUGAAGGGACCAGUCCAAAGGGGCUCCAAGGAUGAAGAUUUGGCAAGCUUAAUUCCAUGCACACUCAACUAUAUGCAAACACAUGACCAAGAAAGAAAUUUGGCCAAGGAAACAUGAGUACUGGCAGUGGGUCGUAGCGUAAGAGGCGGAAAGAAAUCAGGAUAUCCGCCUUGGGCUCUACUCCGGGAUCGCAUCUGCAAUGUUGAGCCACGGCCCGAAGGUGCAGUGGUGGGAUUCACCAUGGUUGGUUUGACCCCUGGCAAGGUGUCAACACUGAUGAUCUCUCCAUCUCUCUACCAUCCCGAGAUCGAUGACAGAGGGAGAGAAAUGAAUCUGGAUCAGUUCGACAAAAAAACGAAGCAGAUUCUUCCCUGUUUUGAUCUCUUGAUUGAGCACAGAUGAAGAGAUUUUUGGGUUCAGUAAAGAUCCAGGUAUUUGUGCCGACAUUUUCUCACAAAUUUUACGAAUUUUGGCUAAAAACUACUAGGUGCAGUGGAGAGUGUCUUAAAAUUUCGGCUUGGACACCGCUUACUACUAAUUUUGGUGUUGGAUUAUGCGAGCGCCGAAAUGCUGAACGAGCGGAGUGACUUCCGAGACCUCAUAAUGGAGAUCAUCUCUAAACAAAGGUCGGUCAACUAUGCUAGGCCUCCAUUCUGAGUGGUGCCGGACCAGAAAAACUUUGAUAAUAAAGGUUCUGAAAUUAAUAUCGGUUAUGCCUGUGUAACGCACAACUGGCGCUUCUCCUCCAAGUUGUGGUUUUAUGUCGGUGCCUCGCCAUGUAACAGCCCAGAGAUAAGAAGACGCCAGUGCAAUUUGGUGACAGUGGAGGGUAGGGAGGAGCGCCAACCGCUGCUCUGUCAGGAGGAGAUGAUCGGGAGGAGCGUGCCGUUGCCAUCACCUCGAGGAGCACCGAGUGCCAGCCGCUGCUCCUACGGGAGGAGCGCCGUCAACAAAGAUCGAGGUUCCUCUCUAUAUAUUUGGAGGAGGAUUCGAAAGGAAGCUAUAUUGAUCUACCAACCGGUUCAGAUGACAAUUGAAUGUUGUGGUUCAGGAAAGCAUAUUACCUUGGUCACACUGGUUAAGAUGAAAAUGGAAUGUGUCCGGCACAUGAUCAAGAACCAUGAAGAUGCGGCUGCAGUUUACGUUUUGAAGCAUGUAUUUCAGUUCAGAUUCAUACUAAUGCAUCUAUUUACCUUGCUAUGUUAUCUGACAAUUGUUCACUGGUCAAGUUAUUUUUGCUUUAUUUUUCUGGCCAUUUUUUUCAACUCCUUACAACAGCAUGUUGCCAACAUCUGGCCCCUUUACUGUCCUCUACUCUAUGAAAUAUUUGCACAUGCUAUUAUUGUUCAGACACUACAUUCCGAGAGCACUUGUGUUUGCCAGUAUUGGCUGCUGUUUGUGGCUUUCUUUGCCUUCAAUUGAUGUACGGACAAAGGAACACGGAGAGGAAACCAGAUGAGAGGCUUCUUUAGCAGUUGACCGCUCCAUCUCUCUUCCUCUCUCCUCAACUUAGCAGUUGGCAUUCAUCUCGGUGUGUUAUUAUUAUCUCUUGAGGGUGCAAAGAGCUAAGGUUGGCUAAAAUUCAUGAAGUGCCAUGGUGUUCUGCUGGGUUUGGUUGUCCAUGUCAACGUGCAAUUUGAAGAUCAGAUCGCCACUCCCCGUGGAACAAGUUAAGAAUAAUUAUGAUGCUUCUGUGCUAUGAAAUUUCUAUGACAUCUAGCAGUCCUAUGAUUAUUUGCUUGUUUACUUACUUACUAAGUAAUUUCGGUUAUGGAAAAUAUACUAGCUGAUAAUAUGUGUUUCUCAAAUUAUGACAUUAGGCAUUUAGCUUUUUCCCUUGUUAAUCAUAAUCAUGAAGGCCAGUAUAUUGAGGAGUCGUGGAGUAAAGUCUAACUAGCACGUGAUUCUUUUUUGCAAGGAACUUUUACAUAUUCUCAUGGCAAUUAUGGCUAUUGAUUUCUGUUAUAUUAUAUACAUAUCUGAAUAAUGCAGUCUGAAGUGAUACGAAUGUCUGCUGAAAUGGAGUUCUUACUCAACAAACUAUGUUGCUAGGCUUGGAAAAUAAUGCCUUGAGGGAAAGUCUCAACAUUGUAGCAUAGAAGCGACUAAUUAAACGUGGAAAGUAAUUGUAUUUUCCCUCUUAAAUUUUAUUUCUUGUUUUGGAGUUCUGUUCUCCAUUAAAUAAUCAUUUUGGCAAUUUGGUCAAGAGCUCAUCAUUAAUAGACUAAGGGUUUAUGCAUGGCCUGUAUUUUGAAUGUAAAAUUUUCCUGUGAAAUAUGAUGGCGGAUCCAGUCUGACUUUCGUGAUUUCAUCACAAAUUUUGUUUGCUGAAGUAAUACAGUUGGUAGAUGGAGCUCUGAACGAUGCCCUGUUAUGAUUUAUGUCUUUAGUUUUGCAGACAUCUAUAGGCAGCAAAAAAGAUUGUCAGUGUGUUGUACCAGGUCGGCGAGUACGCCCGACAAGAACCCCAAUUCCGCCGACUGUGUCGAGGGAGCCCUUAGCCUACGUGGCUGGCUAUAAUCCAAGGGACAUCACAUACUGUAACGAACGACAAGGAGGGGCUGAGGAGUGGUCAGUACCCAAGAUCACACCCAAUUCUUCUCAUGUUUUUAAUUUUCUCUAAUCCAUUUCCUAACGUUUCUGCAAAGCAAUUUAUAUACUCCUACUGAAUUAAGUGUGGUGUUGUACGAUUUGUGGACCUGUAUAGGAUCCUGGCCGUGUAAUUAUCUCAGUUACUGUGUAUUGUCUAAUUCUCUGAGUAAUAUCCAUAUUUGGGUUAAAAAUUUGAAUAAAAAUAUUCUAGCUAAAUUAGAUUAACGAUAGCUUGAUGAGGGCAUCUGUAAUAGAAUACAUAUGUUAUUUUGAGAAACUAGCUUAGUGGCCCUCGGCAAAUGCGAGGGCAUCAUCUUUAAUAUGUCAAAAUGACUUUAAAUAAAUUUAUGGAUCAUGUCAUGGGAUCUAGAAUAAUACAAAUCCCCGAUCAUUGUAAAUAUACACAAUAAUUUUCACGUUGUAAAUCUAUGUGAUCUAGAAUUUGUUGUGGUCUACAACCGAAGUCGAUUAUGUGCUUUAUUAUUGCUCAUGAAUAAAAAAAAAAUGGCUCUAGAGAGAUUAAUUCUUGGAACAAAUGAUAUCAAUAUAUAUGUUGCUGGGAGCGAGUGACUAAUCGGUGGAAUGUCUAGCUCAUGGAGCUAUCAUCCGAGGAUGCAGGUGGCCACGGAAAACCAUUGUUUCAGAUUAUCCGUUGUUUCUGUAGUCCAUGCCGCCAAAUGAGGUCUGUUUUGGAGCAUCUCAAUUAUUUUUUUAUCAUUUCUCUUUGAUUGUUUCGGUGGAUUACACUGAUGGAAUGUUCACUGAGUAACUCCCAUGACCAGCUGAUCGUUUUACUUGUGGCUGUUGAAGGAUUACUUCUCUCUAUUUUUGUUGUUAUAUAACCUUGCUAUUUAAUCUCAUCCACUCUGUUUAGUUGAUGCAAACGUCCGUGCGAAUAACAAGGGUCUAAUCACGUGGGAUUUUUUCCAGUACCCGACGCACCUCAGUUGCCUAGAAAUGUGGAAGUAGGGACAUGUACAAUCAAGAGCUCUCUCACUUGUAAAAAUUAAAUGAUGCUAGACAAACCCAUGUUCAUUUCAGCAGCAUUUCAUGUGGGUCGCUGCUUAUGCUGAAACGUUUCCGCUGUCGUUGGGUCACCGCUGCUGCUGGAGUACAGGUUGACGGCCUCCAUCUUGGCAUAAGGUUUAAGACAUGGUUGUUGUUGAGAUUCCAUCCAGGGUCUUGAUCAUGGCAGCUUCCAGAUCCAUUGUACAACACUAUACCCACGAAGUAUGAAGUGACGGCGACCUUCCUCUAUUGGUAUGUCAUAUACAUCAAUUUAUUGGAGAAGCCUGGCUAUCCAUCGAGCAAACAUUGUAUAGGCUAUUGAUUAUUGUAUACAAUCAACACCCUGUAGUAAGACAUGUUAGACCAUUUACAUAGUGUUUCACCCAUCAGAUAGUUUUUUAUUUAAUGUUUGAUUACCGGGUCUGUGAGCCUAAUGAUGUUUCUCUAUUUUCCUGAUUGUACAUAAGCGUGUGCUACUCUAUUUAUGAUUUAUGGGUUUUAUCCUAA